CUAUUUUUCGAUUGUUAGAUGAAAGAAGGAAGUUCAAUUUAUCAAGGAUCAAGGUUUGGACUACUAGACAGUACACCGCCUUCGGUUUGAGGAGGGCGUUUGAAAUUCUUUCAGGUAGAAAGAAUUGCUGUGAAAUUCUUCCAGUUUUGGCAAGGCACUGCAAUCCUACUUUUGCUCUUCCACUGCCUUCCAGUGGGACAACCAUAUCACAUGCUUGCAUCCCAAUCUCUCCAAUCACAAAUGUUUUCUUUCUCUUUGGG